CUCAAACUAUCUUCCUGUUGUUUCCCUAUAAAUAGAUAGAAAUCUUGUUCUCACUCACAACAUCCUCAAUUGAAUCAAGAAAAAAAAAGUUAUCAGAUAAAGAGUAGAUCUUCAGAAGAAAAAAAAAAUCGAAAUCAUGAAUAAAAGUUUUUUGAAAGUCUUGUUUGCUGCUCUUAUGUUGGUUUUGGUUAUGAUGUCCGCCGCACCGCAUGCUGUUAAUGCCGGUGAGCCAAGUUGGACCAGCAUCCCUGAGGAUGCCGACAGUCAAUGGGACGAAAAUGAAGGGUGAAACUAGUCACUGAAAACACUAGUAUGGCAAAAGCGUUUCAAUUUUUUAAAUAAAUAAAUGAUUUGCAUAUAUUUGCAAGUGUGUGUACUCUGUAAAAGAAGGUGGAACUCUGCAGCAGUUAUUGUGGUCUUAUAGACUACCUUGGGCUCAUUUGUCUGCUUGAGUCACAGUAAAUUAAUAUAAUCGUUUCAGUGUGAAUAAUUCUUGCCGAUA